UGGCAAUUAUGAUGAUCAAUACAAAGUACUGUAUGUCAUUUCCAAUUUAAUGCAUGUAGACAACAGUCCCUCUAAGCUGACGUUGCCU